GUGGUUGCAAUGAGCCUUGGGAGCCGACCAUGCACCCCCUGGCUGGAGGAGGCAGGCCCGUUGAGGACCCCGUUGUACAGACAAGGAGACAGAGCCUCAGGAGAGAUCGAUCGUCUGGCUAAGGGCACACAACGAGGAAAGUGUGGAACGGGGCUGGACAGUCUCGGCCACUCCAGGCACUGCUCUGGCAUCGCAGAGAAGGAACGCCAACCAAACGCCCUAUCCUGCAGGAGCUGACAUUCGGAGUGGACCGCUGGACUCGGAGCUUCUCCCACGGGCGAGGCCUUGUUGCAUGUGAUGGCGACGAAACCACACAGCCAGCCUGGCUCUUCCUCCCAAGACAUCAAUCUCCCGCUUACCUUUUAAUUAAGCAACACAGACCCCCUGAUGGAAUAGCACCUCAAACGAACUCCUGCUCUGAGAGAAGCCCACAUACCUGUCUGCUCUGCCAGGCCUCUGAAAUGGCAUUCAAGGCCUUUCCCAAUCUGGCCCGAGCCUGCCUUUCAUCCUGAUGGCUGCUAGGUGGUGCCGGGGCAUUUCCAACUCAUGGUGACCCUAGAUACAGCAGAAUGAAACGCCGCCUGGUCCUGUGUCAUCCUAUUAUGUUUGAGAACCUUGUUGCAGCCCUAGAUCAAGCCAUCUUCUUGAGGGCCUUCCUUUAU